CUUUCAGAGGAAGCAACUGGGACAGCACAAUGCACCAUGCAAAGACGUUGCUUCAGUUCCAACUCUAAGGAAAGAAUGCCAAUUUUCAUCAAAAUAAGAAAAUCACUACAAGAAAUAAUUAGUGCAACUUCAAACAGCACACAAGGUGUCCCACAUGUGGUCAGGAAUCAGUACUGCAAUUAAAACUGAAGAGUUUUCUCAUUAAGCUUGUUAAAAAUUUACCUAUUUGUAUAAAUUUGUUUUUAUAAAGUACUGACUUGUAACUGAGUUUUCCAGCCAGGGCCCUCCUUCAAGUGCUGCACUAUCCAUUUAAGCGGUAGCUCAUCAAACUCACUUUCAGAUAUGUUCCAGAUUUUUACCAUAAAACUUUCAGACAAGUGCAGGCCACACACAGUCUUUAAAGACCACGGGGAAAAAAACAUAGCAUUGAACAAUAUGAGCAACAGACUGAACUGAAACAAAUUAUUUUCAGAUCAUUAGAAAAGUGUUCCAGAGUCAUUAAGGGUUUGGGUCAGUGUUUCAGAAACACUAUUUCAGAAGUUUAUGGCCACUGUGCUGCUUCAGGCUGACAGCUUGCCUUUUGUAUUUUUUUAAAACAAAAAGCUCAAAAUAAGCCACGUGGGUCUCUAUAUUGUAAGAAAGCAAAAUAAAGUAUAUAAAUAAGACAUUUGUGUUUCUGCUAUUCAAAUACACUAUUUUUAAACCUUGUUGAUCUACAGUUAACUUCCUUUUAAACAAAAGAUCAAUUGUAACUGAAAAUAAAUAUUUACUGCACAUGCACACAAUUCUUCCUAUUUAAAAAUAAUUUUUUUUAAAUGCAUAGGCCUACUAGGCUCUCUUUUCUUUAUACAUACAGACAAGUCUAGUUAGUUAGAUUGGAGGAAGCAAAGUGUAUAUGAGCAAAAUAAUGAAGCUGUUUAGUUUGCAAAGUCUGUACAAAUAGACCAAUAGCUCCAAGUGGAUCAGAAUAGAAAACAUUCAAAUUGUUUGAACUCCUAUAUCUCUUGCAAGGAGAGCGGAAAAUACAUUUGCCUGUUAUCACUUUAAGCCAGGCCCUCAAUGCAGUUUAAAUGAAAAUAAGUACAGGACACAGGCUAAAACGCUUAUUUUAACUCAGUUAUACCAUGCUACUGCAGAGAAUAUGAUCCUCUGUCAGCAUGCUCCAAAGGGUAUAUCUUGUAUACUAGAUGCACAAAUCAAAUAAAAAAAGAGUACCAUGGACUAUACAGUCCAAGUUUUUAUGCAGAAUUUUGCAUACAAACUUAAAGCACAAUGGAAUGAGUUCCAAACAGAGUUCCAGCAUUCACCUGAAUUUUCUCACUAAUUAUAGGUUUAAUUCCCACCGUUAACUUUUCUUUGUAUGCAUGAGCAACAAAGAGCAUUGAAAACUUUCUUGUUGAGAACAAACAAAUGGCACAUAAAUACAUUUAAAACUAGUGUAGAGACCUUGUAGAAUUAUCUAGUU